GACGAACCGUGCAAACGUUGUUCGGAAUCACUGGGCUUAAAGGGCGCGUAGGCGGGCGAUCAAGUCAGGGGUGAAAUCCCUCGGCUUAACCGGGGAACUGCGUCUGAUACUGGAUGGCUUGAGAUUGGGAGAGGGAUGCGGAAUUCCAGGUGUAGCGGUGAAAUGCGUAGAUAUCUGGAGGAACACCGGUGGCGAAGGCGGCAUCCUGGACCAACACUGACGCUGAGGAGCGAAAGCCAGGGGAGCAAACGGG
rnacentral:rRNA from 1 species